CAGAGCAUUGACCUUUGAACAGUGCUGCACAGCAGAAAUAAUGAAGAAAAGCGUGGCCAGGAAAAUGAAAACCUCCCUUCUUGAAGUCCUCAUCGCAGUCCUGCCCCUGCUGCAGCAGAUUGUUCAAAGCAAAGAUUGGACUUAUAAAUCACCUACAUACUCACGUGACCUAGCCUCCACCCCUCUCCUUUCUCUUCCCUUUCCCUUUUUUUCUCCUUUUCUUUCUUUUUGCUUUUCUCUUUUCUCCUUCCCUUUUUCUUUCCCACUUCUUUUCUCUCUUCUUCCCUCCCCUGCCCCCGCUGGAUGCAGUCAUCUUUGCGCAUGAAGGACAAACAACAUCUUUAGACAAACUUCAGAAAAAGUGUAUUAUCUGACUAUGCGCAUCAUGAGUUCUAAUAGAAAACAACUGCCAAAGAUAGAAAAUACCACUAAUUUGUCUUUAGGAAAGUAAUAUUCUCAGCUUUGUCAUGGUGUACAGAAUUAAGUUUCUAUCUUGGAUGGUUCAGAAAAUAAUCCCUAAUAAUAUUCACUAGUUUCUUGCCUAGCCAAGAGAACAGGUCUUUUACCAGGGAAUAAUGCUCAUUUCUAAGCAGUCUUAAGUGAGUUCCAAAAUGUUGUUUUAAAAAUUUGUCUUUAUGGGUCUAAAGGAAAUUUGUAACCCUACAUGUCCUUAGCCUCUCCCCAUCCUUAAAAAACAUAAUUCGUGAUCCUUAAAUGUUAAAUGAAAGAGAGAGAGAGACAGACAGAGAGGUAACAUGGAGAGAGAAAAAAUAAACUCAAAUACAAGAGAUCACAUUUGCUCUCCAAACCAAGAAAAUUCACACCUCAUUACCAUUGCAGUGAAUUCCAAAGAAAGCAUACCCAAAUGGGAACAAAGUUAUUUGAAUGAAAAGUAUUCAGCGGCUAAACAAAUGUCCCCACCACCCCCCUUGCUGCCCUCUGCCUUUCCUUGAUGGUUCGCAGAAUUGGCGCAUGGGAGGAGACCACUGUGGCCUUGUGGAGAGUUUGAAGUGGAAACUUUUGGGGGAAUACUGAAAGUCACUAGCAAUCCAAAGGGAACGCAUUUCUGAUCAUGGUAUUCCAUGACAUUACCCCAUCACCUUCUUCCUGUGAGCCAUCCCAUCCCUUCAAGGCAGAGAGCCAUGGUGGAGGUGUUGCCGCUCCUUUUCACAUGAGUCAAGGCGUAAGAAGAGCUCCUGUGAUUCCAUUUUCAGACAGACACAGUGAACUAUAGAAGAAGCGUGAUUGCCUUUUGCUCUGGAAUCCGAAAGGCUCACGGUUUUCCUUUUCUUCACUCCUGUUGAAUCGGGGGCACUGCGGGGCAAAGAAUGCAAGAUUCAUGGAGCCAGAAGAAGAGCACGAUUUUAUAUCCUCGUGGUCAGGACACUCAACAGAGGGGUACUGGCCCUUGCCCUAAGGUUUGUUUCUGUUUAUUAUCCUGUGACAGGAUCAUAUAAAUGCACAUAAAAUUGAAGAGCAUUGGCUGGUAUUCUGGACUCCCUCCUUCUAGCUGAGUGCUCUCAGCGCUCUGCCUUGCUUGCUCUCUUUCUGGCUCCGUAAGCCUUGCAUUCUUCCCUAUUCAGCAGCUCAGCUUCAAAAGCAGGCUGAAAGGUACUCGCACGGACCUGCUGCCUAGCUUCCUUUAUCAACCAGACUUGUAAU